AUUACCAUAUUUUUACGAAGGCAGCGGGACACUUGUGAGAAGAGUUUUAUUUUGAUAAAAAUAUUUCACUUUUUUAAUUUUUAAAAUCUCAUUUGGUCCCAUCUCUAACUUUUUAACCCUAGUUCCUCAAACUUCAUCUCUCAAACGCUCCAGCCGCCAUUCGCCAGGACUCCAGUUUUCCUCUACGGCCUGCGUGUCCGACUCCAGCAAAACCUUCAUGCUUCAAUCGGUUCCAGCUCUCACCACCAGAGUCACCACCUUCAGGCGGCUGUAGACUUUCUUUUUAUCAUCGCGUCGCUUGGAGGGGGCAUAAUUUCUUUUCAACUACAGAGAGAUAAUAUCUGUAGGAGGAAGAAGAACCUUUUCAUGUGAAGUUGAACUCCACUUAAUGUGGAAGAAGAUUAGAUGUUUGACAAUUAUUCUAUUGAAGUGUUAUUUUGAUGAAUUUGAAAUUUCUAUUUAUAUAUACCAUUUGAUUCUAUUGAAGAUUGGAUGAUUUGCAAACUUUUGAAUGUUAUACCAUUUAUAUUAUUUAGAAUAUUAUAAUA